AUUUUGACGUAACAGAGAGACUUGAUCAGGAAGGUGCUUUUCCAAGGGUAAGGCUCCCUUGUACUUGGGAGGUGCUAACUCCUGCUGCUUUCCCAGUUCAUGAAUUCAGCUGCCUAAGUUUUAGUAAAGGGAGACCAUGUUCACUUU
rnacentral:snRNA from 1 species